GCCAUCAGAUGUGCCCAGAUGGGAUUAGCUAGUAGGUGGGGUAAUGGCUCACCUAGGCGACGAUCCCUAGCUGGUCUGAGAGGAUGACCAGCCACACUGGAACUGAGACACGGUCCAGACUCCUACGGGAGGCAGCAGUGGGGAAUAUUGCACAAUGGGCGCAAGCCUGAUGCAGCCAUGCCGCGUGUGUGAAGAAGGCCUUCGGGUUGUAAAGCACUUUCAGCGAGGAGGAAGGGUAGUGUGUUAAUAGCACAUUUCAUUGACGUUACUCGCAGAAGAAGCACCGGCUAACUCCGUGCCAGCAGCCGCGGUAAUACGGAGGGUGCAAGCGUUAAUCGGAAUUACUGGGCGUAAAGCGCACGCAGGCGGUUUGUUAAGUCAGAUGUGAAAUCCCCGCGCUUAACGUGGGAACUGCAUUUGAAACUGGCAA
rnacentral:rRNA from 1 species